GACGAACGCUGGCGGCGUGCUUAACACAUGCAAGUCGAGCGGUAAGGCCCUUUCGGGGGUACGACGAGCGGCGAACGGGUGAGUAACACGUGGGUGACCUGCCCUCAGCUCUGGGAUAAGCCUGGGAAACUGGGUCUAAUACUGGAUAUGACUCCACGGUGCAUGUCGUGGGGUGGAAAGCCUUGUGCGGCUGAGGAUGGGCCCGCGGCCUAUCAGCUUGUUGGUGGGGNGAUGGCCUACCAAGGCGACGACGGGUAGCCGGCCUGAGAGGGCGACCGGCCACACUGGGACUGUGACACGGCCCAGACUCCUACGGGAGGCAGCAGUGGGGAAUCUUGCGCAAUGGGCGAAAGCCUGACGCAGCGACGCCGCGUGAGGGAUGACGGCCU
rnacentral:rRNA from 1 species